rnacentral:rRNA from 1 species
UACGAAGGGGGCUAGCGUUGUUCGGAUUUACUGGGCGUAAAGCGCACGUAGGCGGAUCGUUAAGUCAGGGGUGAAAUCCUGGAGCUCAACUCCAGAACUGCCUUCGAUACUGAGAGUCUCGAGUCCGGGAGAGGUGAGUGGAACUGCGAGUGUAGAGGUGAAAUUCGUAGAUAUUCGCAAGAACACCAGUGGCGAAGGCGGCUCACUGGCCCGGUACUGACGCUGAGGUGCGAAAGCGUGGGGAGCAAACAGG